UACGAGAGGCCCAAACGUUAUUCGGAAUUACUGGGCUUAAAGGGUGCGUAGGCGGCGCGGAAAGUUGGGUGUGAAAUCCCUCGGCUCAACCGAGGAACUGCGCCCAAAACUACCGUGCUCGAGGAAGAUAGAGGUGAGCGGAACUCACGGUGGAGCGGUGAAAUGCGUUGAUAUCGUGAGGAACACCCGUGGCGAAAGCGGCUCACUGGGUCUUUUCUGACGCUGAUGCACGAAAGCUAGGGGAGCAAACGGG
rnacentral:rRNA from 1 species